UGAGGAAUAUUGGUCAAUGGGCGAGAGCCUGAACCAGCCAAGUAGCGUGAAGGAUGACGGCCCUACGGGUUGUAAACUUCUUUUGUGCGGGAAUAAAGGAGCCUACGUGUAGGCUUUUGCAUGUACCGUAACGAAUAAGCAUCGGCUAACUCCGUGCCAGCAGCCGCGGUAAUACGGAGGAUGCGAGCGUUAUCCGGAUUUAUUGGGUUUAAAGGGAGCGUAGACGGGUUUUUAAGUCAGCUGUGAAAGUUUGGGGCUCAACCUUAAAAUUGCAGUUGAAACUGGAGACCUUGAGUACGGUUGAGGCAGGCGGAAUUCGUGGUGUAGCGGUGAAAUGCUUAGAUAUCACGAAGAACCCCGAUUGCGAAGGCAGCCUGCUAAGCCGCCACUGACGUUGAGG
rnacentral:rRNA from 1 species